rnacentral:rRNA from 1 species
AUUGAACGCUGGCGGCAUGCCUUACACAUGCAAGUCGAACGGUAACAGGUCUUCGGAUGCUGACGAGUGGCGAACGAGUGAGUAAUACAUCGGAACGUGCCCGAUCGUGGGGGAUAACGAAGCGAAAGCUUUGCUAAUACCGCAUAAGAUCUACGGAUGAAAGCAGGGGACCGCAAGGCCUUGCGCGAACGGAGCGGCCGAUGGCAGAUUAGGUAGUUGGUGGGAUAAAAGCUUACCAAGCCGACGAUCUGUAGCUGGUCUGAGAGGACGACCAGCCACACUGGGACUGAGACACGGCCCAGACUCCUACGGGAGGCAGCAGUGGGGAAUUUUGGACAAUGGGCGAAAGCCUGAUCCAGCCAUGCCGCGUGCAGGAUGAAGGCCUUCGGGUUGUAAACUGCUAUUGUACGGAACGAAAAGACUCUUUCUAAUAAAGAGGGUCCAUGACGGUACCGUAAGAAUAAGCACCGGCUAACUACGUGCCAGCAGCCGCAGUAA